CCUACGGGAGGCAGCAGUGGGGAAUAUUGCACAAUGGGGGAAACCCUGAUGCAGCAACGCCGCGUGAAGGAAGACGGUUUUCGGAUUGUAAACUUCUGUUCUUAGUGAAGAAUAAUGACGGUAGCUAAGGAGCAAGCCACCGCUGACCACGGGCCAGCAGCCGGGGUAAUACGUAGGUGGGAAGCGUUGUCCGGAAUUACUGGGUGGUAAGGGAGAGCAGGCGGGAAGCCAAGUCACCUGUGAAAAGUACAGGCUUAACUUGUUGACUGCAGUUGAAACUGGGUUUCUUGAGUGAAGUAGAGGUUGGCGGAAUUCCGAGUGUAGCGGUGAAAUGCGUAGAUAUUCGGAGGAACACCGGUGGCGAAGGCGGCCAACUGGGCUUUAACUGACGCUGAGGCUCGAAAGUGUGGGGAGCAAACAGGAUUAGAUACCCGAGUAGUC
rnacentral:rRNA from 1 species